UCAGAUCUUUUUCUCAGAUUCUUUCAGAGAAUAUCCUAGCAGUGAGUUCAAGGUAAUUAGCAAUUAUAUAUAUAGUACAACUGAAGUCUGUGCUUUUCUUGUCUACUGACAACCUAAAGUUUCACAUUUAAGCUGAAUAAAAAAUAAAUACACAUCUAAAAAAUAUAAAAAAUUUUGUUACAUUUUGACCAUCUACAGAAUUACUUUGACUAUCAGUUUCCUUACUCUUUCCAAAUAAAGCUCUCUGUUCAUCCCAACAUUUAAAAUAUUGAUUCUAUAAGAAAUCAUUUCUGGAAUGAAGAGUGCACAAAAUAAGGAAAUCUUCAUGAGUUAAUCUGUAAUCAACUGUAAGCUUAAGACUGUGACUU